GACGAACGCUGGCGGCGUGCUUAACACAUGCAAGUCGAACGGAAAGGCCCUGCUUUUGUGGGGUGCUCGAGUGGCGAACAGGUGAGUAACACGUGAGUAACCUGCCCUUGACUUUGGGAUAACUUCAGGAAACUGGGGCUAAUACCGGAUAGGAGCUCCUGCUGCAUGGUGGGGGUUGGAAAGUUUCGGCGGUUGGGGAUGGACUCGCGGCUUAUCAGCUUGUUGGUGGGGUAGUGGCUUACCAAGGCUUUGACGGGUAGCCGGCCUGAGAGAGUGACCGGCCACAUUGGGACUGAGAUACGGCCCAGACUCCUACGGGAGGCAGCAGUGGGGAAUAUUGCACAAUGGGCGGAAGCCUGAUGCAGCAACGCCGCGUGCGGGAUGACGGCCUUCGGGUUGUAAACCGCUUUCGCCUGUGACGAAGCGUGAGUGACGGUAAUGGGUAAAGAAGCACCGGCUAACUACGUG
rnacentral:rRNA from 1 species